rnacentral:rRNA from 1 species
AAUCGUAAGUAUAUAUUCCUACUCUAGCGUCCGUUGAAUAUUACGUAACAAAAAGGAAGUUACUCGCACAUCAUGAAAAUAGAUAGAAAGGUAGUAAGUACUGCUCCGCGUUCUGCAUGCAGCGCUACUUUUGGUACAUUACGAGUUAGGAGGGCAAAUCCGCCGAAAAAAAUGUGUAUAACAAUUAAGCGGAAGAGAAGAAAAUAACAAUGAUUCCUUUAGUAACGGCGAGUGAACGAGGAUAAGCUCAACAGGAAAAUCCCUUAUUAGCGCGUGCUGGUGUAGGGAGUUGUCAAGUUGGAGUGACUUUCCAAUAUUCAGCUACGGUCGACUUAAUGGAGCGAAGCUGAGCAGAAAAUGCUCCCCCAUAGAAGGUUAAAGGCCUGUAGAUGGUCGGCCCAAUUGUUUGGAAUUUUGCUUGUAGAGUCGUGUUCUUUAAAAUUGGAGGGAGCACUAAUGUGUGUGAACGCAUUUCACAUAAAGCUAAAUAUGUGUAGGAAACCGAUAGCAAACAAGUACCGUGAGGGAAAGAUGAAAUAGAACUCAGGAAUGAGGAUUAAACAGAACCUGAAAUCGUUAAGGUGGAACGGAUUAAGGGAGGACCAACUAGUAUAGGGGGCUACAUGGUGAUGGAGCCUAUAAGUAGGUGAAAAUCACUCUCCAUAUAUUAUUAAGGAACAUCAGUGAAUUUACGGGUAUUCGCAACGAAAAUGAGCGACCAAGGGAGCGCAAAAAUUAGUAAUUUUUUUUUGGCUUCUUUACCCGCUUAGGCCUCACUCUAAUGAUAGGCAGUAGUAUUUUUCCGUUUAACGCUCGAAGUAGAAAGAGUGGAGAUUACCCGAUUUUAUUUGCUGAGGGGAGGACAAAGGUAGUAAAGCCGUCUUUAAAAUUUGCUGCCUUUUACUCGAUGUUCCCAAUGAAUGCUUUCUUAACCCACUCGUCUUGAAACACGGACCAAGGAGUCUACCAAAUGUGCGAGCGUAGGUGAUGGUACUAAACAUUAUGAAAAUAUUGUGGGGUUUUGCCCUUUAUGUUAAUACGCGUAAUUAACUAUGGAUGUUAAUUUGUUGUAGAUUUGGCAGGAAAGUUAAAAAGCUUCUCCUACCGAGGCAUACAAUACACACCGGUGAGCAGCUAUGCGUUUUACACCGAGUAGAAGAGCAUGUUUGAUAGGACCCGAGAGGCUUUGAACUAAGCGUGGUGAGAUUGAAGUCGGACGGACAAAGUCGUCUGAUGGAGGAUCGAAUUGGAUGCAAAAUCAUUCAAAUCAACUGCGUUUAGGGGCGAAAGACUAAUCGAAAGGCCUAUUAGCUGGUUAUUUUCGAAAGAUCUCUCAGGAUCGCUGGAGUUUAUGUAUUUUUUUGCCCGGUAGGGAACUCGACCGCAGGAGCCUAAUGGAACUCAGUUUCCUGUUGACCUGUCGUCAAGCUAUCGACGGUAAAAGAGGGUGACUAAUGGUAUAGCUGUAUGCAUGCAUUAUAUAUGCAUGUACGCAUGUAUGCACAUUUUAGCUCCCCCAAAUAUGAUGACUCCAAGUGGGCCUCUUCUGGUAAGCAGAAUGGGCGAUGAGGGAUGCUCCUAACGCUUGGAUAAGGUGCCUAAAUAUCCGCUCAUGAGAUCCCACAAAAAGGUGUUGGUCCGUUUUGACAGUAGGGCGGUGAUCAUCGAAGUCGAAAUCCGCUAAGGAGUGUGUAGCAACUCACCUACCGAAUGGAUUGGCCCUGAAAAUGGAUGGCGCUAAAGCGGAUUACCGAUACCAAGCCGUAAAAGGUUAUAAGAAAAGAAUUCCCUUCUUUUUUAGGACCCUUUUAUGAGUAGAAAAUCGUGGGGUUUUGUGCAGAAGCGAGAAACGUGAGUUCUCGUGGAACAUCUCCCUAGUGCAGAUCUUGGUGGAAGUAGCAACUAUUCAAAUGAGAACUUUGAAGACUGAUGUGGAGAAGGGUUUUUUGCCAACUGUGAUUGUGCAAAAGUUAGCCGCUCCUAAGAGUUAAACUGAAAGGUUUUAGAAAUAGGGGACAUACGAACCUGCUGCACAAACGAGUAAUAUUCACCUGUGUUUUCAAUAGGUUUUGCCCCUUAGCUCGAAAGGGAAACAGGUUAAUAUUCCUGUGCCGGUAGUAUUAAAAUGGGUAAAGAUAUAUAUAAGAGAUAUAUAUACAACACAAAGGUGGUAACAUAGAUAAAAAAUGAACUCCUUCACAUAGGCCUCUUACACUCGGGGUGCGUUUUCUUUGCACUUUAACUUAUAGCUGACCUUGGAAUAAGAGAAUUUACUUGGAGAGAAGGUUUGCUGAAUCGAGUCAGACGAAAACCCCAACAUAAAAAAGUGAAAAAGAAUUUCGAAUCUAUUCACCUUUUUUUUGUUGGCUUUCCUCAUGACUUGUAGCAAUAGUAAUUCGUUUUUAUGAAUUACCGAGGGCGUAAGGACUAUCCUUGAAAAGAGGAGGGAACAGCAGUACAGGAGAGGGUGAAUAAGGGGGGGAGAAUGGGCUUAGUUUUUCGGAACGACGUCAGAGAACCUUCUACGCAUCCUCUUCACAUGUAUUGUAUACUCUUAAUACUAAAAUAUGAGCGUACCGAAUAACCGCAUAAGGUCUCCAAGGUUAGAAGCCUCUGGUUAAAUAGAACAAAGUAAAGUAAGGGAAGUCGGCAAAAUUAAAUCCGUAACUUCGGAAAAAGGAUUGGCUCUGAUGGCAUUGGACAGGGUUGGAAAGGGAAAUACAAAGGUUGCAAGGUGAGUAGCAUAAUAGGGGGGCUUGUUUCAAGUAUCACCUUACGUCUAAUGGUGGGACCGCUUGGGGGGUAGGCGAAAUGCGAACCCCUAUGUGUUAGGCACUUGCAACCUCUUCCCCUCCGAAACUCCUCUUCUCUAAUCAUCCUUGGGAUUGUUCCACAACCCCUCAUGAUUUUAAGUAAUGUCAGCUCAGAACUGAAACGGAUACGGGGAAUUCGACUGUUUAAAAACAUAGCAUUGUGAAAAAGCCGCAAACAGUAGGCAUCUACACAGUGUGAUUUCUGCCCAGUGCUUUGAAUUAUCAAAUUGGUUGAAAGUUCAGUCAAGCGCAGGUUAAUGGCAGGAGUGCUCACUCUUAAUAGCCAUAUUGCCUCGUCAUAAAAAUUUACGACGCGCAUGGAUGGAUUAACGAAAUUCCCACUGUCCCUACUUGCUAUCUAGCGAAACCACAGCCAAGGGAAACGGGCUUGGCCAAAUCAGCUGGGAAAGAAGACCCUGUUCAGCUUUACUCCAGUCUGGCUUUGCGAAUCGACUUAAAAGGUGUAGCAUAAGUGGGAGUAAAUCAAAAGACGAAUCAGUUUUUUCCUUUACGACGGUGAAAUUACCACUACUUUUAAGUUGUUUCGCUUAUCCGUUGGUGGGGGUAAGAAGCAAGAAAUGCGUAUGCUUUUCUUCGGAUGGCAUGCGUAUUUUCUUGCUUCUUACCCCUAUUGAUGAGUUAAGUAAGAUGUAUAAUGUGAGGAGAAGUACUAACGGAGGGGGGAUAAACUGGAGGGGUAGCCUUCCUUUUUUUUUCUUCCUCACUUCUGCCUACACUUACAUGUUAUUUGCCUAUCCACCGCUUAUAUAUAUGUAUGGAGACAUAGCCAGGUGGGGAGUGUGUGACUGGUGCGGCGCACCUGCUAAUUUGCGGAGUGCGAAGGCAAGCUCAAGGAGAACAGAAAUCUCUUGUGGACUAAAAUGGGAAAAGCUUGCUUGAUUUCUACUUUCAGGAAAGAAGUGGGAAGCGCGAAAGCGUGGUCUUUAUAGAUACUUCGCAUUUGCAACAAAUGACGGAAGAUUUAUUUUCCUACUGUGCAUGCAGAGGUAUCUGGAAAGCUACACAGGGAUAACUGGCUUGUGGCUGCCGAGCGUUUUUAGCGACGUAGCUUUUUGAUCCUUCGAUGUCGGCUCUUCCUAUCAUUGGGACGCAGAAGUCUCAAAGUGUCGGAUUGUUCACCCCGCUAAUAGGGAACGUGAGCUGAGUUUUUAGACCGUCGUGAGACAGGUUAGUUUUACCCCUACUGAUGAAUAUACCUUAAACGUAUAAAGAAUUUAUAUAAAUGAUAUUGUGACAGUAAUCCAACUCGGUACGAGAGGAUCAGUUGGUUCAGACCUUUGGUACAGCAAUUGGUUGAAAAACCAGUGUUGCGAAGCUACGUCUGUUGGAUAAUGGCUGAACGCCUCUUAAGCCAGAACCCAUGCUGAUUAAACAAUAUUUAUUUUGACGGCCUUCUCUGUACGUAAUUCU